rnacentral:lncRNA from 1 species
GUUCUCUUCAGGGUUCCUCUGGGAAGGGAGCAGACUUUAGCACUUCUUCCAUAGUACCCUCCUUAAACAGAGGCUCUGGGAGGAGUUCUUCAUCUCCACCCAUUCCUUUCAAAGGGAAGGAUCCCCGGAGCAGGAGAUACCAAUUAGGGGAAAUUUUUUUCCUCCUACUCGCUUUUGAACAUGCCAAUCAAAGAAGAACACAGUCUCUUCAUGAUUGGAAUGGGAAUAAGAAGUAGCAAAAGUCUCAAGGGGUCCUCUGGGUCAGAGCCUGGUGUCAUUGUUGUGACAGAGGGAAAGAGAAGAGUAGCGGGACAAUUCACCUGUGAGCACGAACAGAAGACUUUGGUCUCGAUUUCUUAGCAUCUAUGCAGUGAAAGAAAAGUUAUGGUUUGCUGCUGCUGGAAUAGCCAAGGCUAAGACUGAAAAAAGGUUACAAUUUCAUUUCAGCUAUGAUGAAAUGUUGUUACUGCACCCCUGCUUUCUUUUAAUCAACACAACACUUAUUUUGGAAUCAAACUUAGCAUCUUUGUUAAUUUUCUGCUCUCUAGGAGAGGUCAUCUAAAAUGUAGUGGAUUUCUAAGACGUGUUUAUCCACACCCUAUCAAUUUUCACUUACCCUAGGCUUACAUGGAAGGUUUUGGAUCAUCCAGACUCUUUGUUUUCCUGAUGACCUUUUUGCUAUUCAUUUGCAACAGAGCCAAGGUCCAAAUUCAUGUUUUCCCUCACCAAAUUCUGUUCUUUUUGCUCCCUAUCAUGGCUGCCUAUCUAACUUCCCACAGACAAUGUACUGUGAUUGGGAUUUAAUUUU